UGGGGAAUCUUGCACAAUGGGCGAAAGCCUGAUGCAGCAACGCCGCGUGCGGGAAGACAGCCCUAGGGUUGUAAACCGCUUUCAGCAGGGAAGAAACUGACGGUACCUGCAGAAGAAGAUGCGGCCAACUACGUGCCAGCAGCCGCGGUGACACGUAGGCAUCAAGCGUUAUCCGGAUUUAUUGGGCGUAAAGAGCUCGUAGGCGGUUCGGUAAGUCGGGUGUGAAAACUCUGGGCUCAACCCAGAGAGGCCACUCGAUACUGCUGUGACUAGAGUGCGGUAGGGGAGCGGGGAAUUCCUGGUGUAGCGGUGAAAUGCGCAGAUAUCAGGAGGAACACCAGUGGCGAAGGCGGGUCUCUGGGCCGGAACUGACGCUGAGGAGCGAAAGCGUGGGGAGCGAACAGGAUUAGAUACCCUGGUAGUCCACGCCGUAAACGGUGGGCGCUAGGUGUGGGGAUCGUUUCCACGAUCUCCGUGCCGUAGCUAACGCAUUAAGCGCCCC
rnacentral:rRNA from 1 species